ensembl:lncRNA
AUAAUUCAGAGGACUCCGUUAUGCCUUAUUCGGGCAAAAUGACACAGACUUGGAGGUCUACAGAAGAGUGAUGCUACUAUUCCUUACUGUUGUGAAGUGCCUCAUCCUCAAACCUGAAACCCACCUGUAGACCACACCUCUGCACAGCUAAACUGUGCCUUUACUGGGAGCACUCUGAGAAACACAUGCCAGAGUGGCAGUUUAAGCAUAUAAUCCAAGACUUUAAGAAAAGGCGUGCACUUGACUUUGUGCUGGCUCUAUGAUCUGUACAUCAUAUGUUGUCAGUAUUACCAAGAAAUAAUGAUUUGAAGAUCAGCUUAUCUGAAAUCUGCGUUAGUCACUGAUUGAGUCACUGUGGAUGUUUAGGACCUUUCAGUACAUUUGGGCUGCAGCUGUAGGGAGAGAAGCUGCCAUGUGCUGAAUGUAGCAUAACUGUAAUAGGCUGUCCUUUAUCUGUUUCUUCCAAAGCCUCUGUGUGCUUUCGGACCUGACUCGUUGCUAAGUGCUAAUUCAUAUGGUGGGCUAAGGAUCGAGUCUUUGUUCACUGAUCAGGCGCUGCAGCGACUGGGUUUUUUUUUCCUUUUGCAGGUCAUCGCUUCACCAUUAGCAGGGUGGAGAGACAGAGAGAGAGAGGGAGAGAGAGAAAGGGGGCUGGCGAAAUCGAAGCGCUCACGGAUGUCGCGCCUGUCUGUCCAGCCUGCUGCCCCGCUUUCCCGGGCGCUACUAGUGAAGCACUGAAGACGGCGAGCGAGUCGAGGCGCUGGGGGAGUGUCACACGUACAGCACGAUAGUUUUUCUGCCCUGGAUUUUUCUAUCAUUCGCAAGAAACCAACACUCCCAGACGGCGUAGCCAGCGAAGGCUCAGGGCCGCCUCCUCCUCCUCCUCCUCCUCCUCCACCACCACCACCACCACCACCUCCUCCUUCUUCUUCACCGCCGCCGCCUCCGCUUCCACGCCGCUUCCCCUCCUCCUUCAGCCCCUCCGUUUCCUCCGCGACUGUGAGCCGAGAUCCUAGCGGCCGAGGACGGAGACCUUUCCCGGGACUGAGGAUUUUCUCUUGGUUUU